rnacentral:tRNA from 1 species
AAAUAAGAAGCAAAACAUUGCAUUUAGUUUCGACCUAAAAAUAUGACCUAUCGUCCUUAUUUU